rnacentral:rRNA from 1 species
ACUGCCUGCCCAGUGACAUCUGUUCAACGGCCGCGGUAUUAUGACCGUGCAAAGGUAGCGUAAUCACUUGUCUUUUAAAUAAAGACCGGUAUGAAUGGCAAAACGAAAACUCAACUGUCUCCUCAGAUAAGUCAGUGAAAUUGAUUUCCCCGUGAAGAAGCAGGGAUAAUAAUAUAAGACGAGAAGACCCUAUGGAGCUUUAAACCAAAACUACCCACACUCUUUGAACUUUAAAAAGUGGAGUUAGCUACAGGUUUUGGGUUGGGGCGACCGCGGAGUAAAAAUUAACCUCCGAGAAAACAUUAAGAAGGACACUUCAAAAAAUAAUAAUAUUAACACAUUUGACCCAACAAUUGAUCAACGAACCAAGUUACCCUAGGGAUAACAGCGCAAUCCUUUCAGAGAGUCCUUAUCGACGAGAGGGUUUACGACCUCGAUGUUGGAUCAGGACCCCCAAAUGGUGCAAAAGCUAUUAAAGG